rnacentral:misc_RNA from 1 species
GGACUACAAGGGUAUCUAAUCCUGUUUGAUCCCCACACUUUCGUCCCUCAGCGUCAGUUAUAUAUUUGUCAGCUGCCUUCGCAAUCGGUGUUCUGUGUAAUAUCUAAGCAUUUCACCGCUACACUACACAUUCCGCCAACAUCACAUAUACUCAAGGCCGACAGUAUCAAUGGCAGUUCCAUAGUUGAGCUAUGGGCUUUCACCACUGACUUAUCGGCCCGCCUACGGACCCUUUAAACCCAAUAAAUCCGGAUAACGCUUGCACCCUCCGUAUUACCGCGGCGGCUGGCACUC